UUUUUAUGUGUUAUUAACGUGAAAUGAUAAACUGAGAGAGUUAAAAUGAUAAAACAACCAUUGGUGUGUUUAAGAUUUGUCAAAACAAAAACCAUUGAUGUAUUUAAGAGGCAAUGUUUAAUAAUGAUUUUGAAUUUAGAAAGGACAACUUUUUUUUUGAGGGGUUAGAAAGGACAUCUUGUUAUUGUGUAUAAGUUUUAAGGACUAUUUAAUUGAAUUAAAAGGAGAUUAAUUUUAUUUUAGAUUAUAAAGCAAUCACAGUAUCUUCUGUUUAUUACAUAAGAAGGACAAAAAAAUAUGGUGAAAAUGCUCAAAUUUAUCUAUGCUAUGAUCUUAUUAAUUUCUCAUUUUCUUGUUGUAACUCAUGGCGGUACUUCUUGCAAUCACAACUAUGAUUGUCCCUAUGAUGAUUGUUCUCCUAAAGGUUCAAAGUGUAUUUGUCACCGUUGCUAUUGUGCAUAACAUAACAUUUAUGCUAUGUUUGGUUUCCAAGAUUGAGGAAGGAAAGAUUGGUUGUGGAUGGAAAGUACGGAAACCAAAAAUUGUUCCACAGUUUGGUUCAAGGGAACAACUGAAAAGGAAAGAAAGUAAUGUGGAACCAUGCCAUGGAAACCUUUCUGUGGGGAGGGAAAGAUUUGGAAACAACCAUUUUUGUGUGAAAAGUCUAAAACACCCCCAACUUAUAUUGUUUUUUUAUUUACUUUUUACUAUUCAUUUUUUUUAAUAGGUUAUAGCUUAUUACUGGUUUGUUGUCUCCUCCUUAUUUUUUCAACUCACUUUUUUAUUUUUCUAUGGCAUACAAUUGGACUACUCACACCUAGCCACAAUAUGUUUAUGCUUUAUAUAUAUAUAAUUGUCUUCAAAGGUAUUUAUGUCAAUUAAAAAAUAUGGAUCUUUCUUUCCUUCAA